rnacentral:rRNA from 1 species
GGGCGGUUCCCCCUUCGGGGGGACAGGGUGACAGGUGGUGCAUGGUUGUCGUCAGCUCGUGUCGUGAGAUGUUGGGUUAAGUCCCGCAACGAGCGCAACCCUCGACCUUAGUUGCCAGCAUUCAGUUGGGCACUCUAAGGUGACUGCCGGCUAAAAGUCGGAGGAAGGUGGGGAUGACGUCAAAUCAUCAUGCCCCUUAUGACCUGGGCUACACACGUGCUACAAUGGGCGGUACAAAGGGUCGCGAACCCGCGAGGGGGAGCCAAUCCCAAAAAGCCGCCCUCAGUUCGGAUUGCAGGCUGCAACUCGCCUGCAUGAAGCCGGAAUCGCUAGUAAUCGCGGAUCAGCAUGCCGCGGUGAAUACGUUCCCGGGCCUU